rnacentral:rRNA from 1 species
GACGAACGCUGGCGGCGUGCUUAACACAUGCAAGUCGAACGGAAAGGCCCUGCUUUUGUGGGGUGCUCGAGUGGCGAACGGGUGAGUAACACGUGAGUAACCUGCCCUUGACUUUGGGAUAACUUCAGGAAACUGGGGCUAAUACCGGAUAGGAGCUCCUGCUGCAUGGUGGGGGUUGGAAAGUUUCGGCGGUUGGGGAUGGACUCGCGGCUUAUCAGCUUGUUGGUGGGGUAGUGGCUUACCAAGGCUUUGACGGGUAGCCGGCCUGAGAGGGUGACCUGCCACAUUGGGACUGAGAUACGGCCCAGACUCCUACGGGAGGCAGCAGUGGGGAAUAUUGCACAAUGGGCGGAAGCCUGAUGCAGCAACGCCGCGUGCGGGAUGACGGCCUUCGGGUUGUAAACCGCUUUCGCCUGUGACGAAGCGUGAGUGACGGUAAUGGGUAAAGAAGCACCGGCUAACUACGUG